CAGUCGCCACGGUAAUACGGAGGGGGCUAGCGUUGUUCGGAAUUACUGGGCGUAAAGCGUGCGCAGGCGGUGUUGUAAGACUGAUGUGAAAUCCCCGGGCUCAACCUGGGAACUGCAUUUGUGACUGUAUAGCUAGAGUACGGCAGAGGGGGAUGGAAUUCCGCGUGUAGCAGUGAAAUGCGUAGAUAUGCGGAGGAACACCGAUGGCGAAGGCAAUCCCCUGGGCCUGUACUGACGCUCAUGCACGAAAGCGUGGGGAGCAAACAGGAUUAGAUACCCCAGUAGUCCCUGUCUCUUAUAA
rnacentral:rRNA from 1 species